GACAGAGGGUGCAAAUGUUGUUCGGAAUUACUGGGCGUAAAGCGUGCGCAGGCGGUUUUGUAAGUCAGAUGUGAAAUCCCCGGGCUUAACCUGGGAACUGCGUUUGAAACUACAAGGCUAGAGUGUGGCAGAGGGGGGUGGAAUUCCACGUGUAGCAGUGAAAUGCGUAGAGAUGUGGAGGAACACCGAUGGCGAAGGCAGCCCCCUGGGUUAACACUGACGCUCAGGCACGAAAGCGUGGGGAGCAAACAGG
rnacentral:rRNA from 1 species